rnacentral:pre_miRNA from 1 species
AGUGGGAUUGUCGGGUCGCAUGGUAGGUAUAUAUUGAACUUUAUAAGAAACUGCCAAACUGUUUUCCAAAGUGACUGUACCAUUUUGCAUUCCCAUAUGUAAU